rnacentral:lncRNA from 1 species
AGCUGUCUGUGUUGAGGAAUGCUGCCAGAACAGCAGACCAGCGAAUACAGGUUUACAUUUGUGUCGGAACAGGACACCAUACAAAGGGUUCGCGUACUCCUGCUAGGCUUCCUAUUGCAGUCCAGCGUUACCUGCUAGAGGAGGGCCUUGACUACUAUGAGCCACAACCAGGGCUUCUCCGAGUUGUAAUAUACUGAGUUGUGAAGGUACAGUAGUUUUUGACACAUCAUU